UGAGUGAAGAAGGCCUUCGGGUUGUAAAGCUCUUUUGUCAGGGAAGAAACGGCUCCGGCUAAUAUCUGGGGCUAAUGACGGUACCUGAAGAACAAGCACCGGCUAACUACGUGCCAGCAGCCGCGGUAAUACGUAGGGUGCAAGCGUUAAUCGGAAUUACUGGGCGUAAAGCGUGCGCAGGCGGUUUUGUAAGUCUGACGUGAAAGCCCCGGGCUUAACCUGGGAAUUGCGUUGGAGACUGCAAGGCUUGAAUCUGGCAGAGGGGGGUAGAAUUCCACGUGUAGCAGUGAAAUGCGUAGAGAUGUGGAGGAACACCGAUGGCGAAGGCAGCCCCCUGGGUCAAGAUUGACGCUCAUGCACGAAAGCGUGGGGAGCAAACAGGAUUAGAUACCCUGGUAGUCCACGCCCUAAACGA
rnacentral:rRNA from 1 species